rnacentral:rRNA from 1 species
AGAGUUUGAUCAUGGCUCAGGAUGAACGCCGGCGGUGUGCCUAAUACAUGCAAGUCGAACGCGUUGGCCCAACUGAUUGGACGUGCUUGCACGGACUUGACGUUGGUUUACCAGCGAGUGGCGGACGGGUGAGUAACACGUAGGUAACCUGCCCCAAAGCGGGGGAUAACAUUUGGAAACAGAUGCUAAUACCGCAUAACAAUUUGAAUCGCAUGAUUCAAAUUUAAAAGAUGGCUUCGGCUAUCACUUUGGGAUGGACCUGCGGCGCAUUAGCUUGUUGGUAGGGUAACGGCCUACCAAGGCUGUGAUGCGUAGCCGAGUUGAGAGACUGAUCGGCCACAAUGGAACUGAGACACGGUCCAUACUCCUACGGGAGGCAGCAGUAGGGAAUCUUCCACAAUGGGCGCAAGCCUGAUGGAGCAACACCGCGUGAGUGAAGAAGGGUUUCGGCUCGUAAAGCUCUGUUGUUAGAGAAGAACGUGCGUGAGAGUAACUGUUCACGCAGUGACGGUAUCUAACCAGAAAGUCACGGCUAACUACGUGCCAGCAGCCGCAGUAAUACGUAGGUGGCAAGCGUUAUCCGGAUUUAUUGGGCGUAAAGCGAGCGCAGGCGGUUUGAUAAGUCUGAUGUGAAAGCCUUUGGCUUAACCAAAGAAGUGCAUCGGAAACUGUCAGACUUGAGUGCAGAAGAGGACAGUGGAACUCCAUGUGUAGCGGUGGAAUGCGUAGAUAUAUGGAAGAACACCAGUGGCGAAGGCGGCUGUCUGGUCUGCAACUGACGCUGAGGCUCGAAAGCAUGGGUAGCGAACAGGAUUAGAUACCCUGGUAGUCCAUGCCGUAAACGAUGAGUGCUAGGUGUUGGAGGGUUUCCGCCCUUCAGUGC